CCUACGGGAGGCAGCAGUCGAGAAUCAUUCACAAUGGGGGAAACCCUGAUGGUGCGACGCCGCGUGGGGGAAUGAAGGUCUUCGGAUUGUAAACCCCUGUCAUGUGGGAGCAAAUUAAAAAGAUAGUACCACAAGAGGAAGAGACGGCUAACUCUGUGCCAGCAGCCGCGGUAAUACAGAGGUCUCAAGCGUGGUUCGGAAUCACUGGGCGUAAAGCGUGCGUAGGCUGUUUCGUAAGUCGUGUGUGAAAGGCGCGGGCUCAACCCGCGGACGGCACAUGAUACUGCGAGACUAGAGUGAUGGAGGGGGAACUGGAAUUCUCGGUGUAGCAGUGAAAUGCGUAGAUAUCGAGAGGAACACUCGUGGCGAAGGCGGGUUCCUGGACAUUAACUGACGCUGAGGCACGAAGGCCAGGGGAGCGAAAGGGAUUAGAUACCCUAGUAGUC
rnacentral:rRNA from 1 species